UACUAUGCUUAACCGUAAACCUCCUACCAUAACACUAUUACCCCACCAUACCGCCUGAAUACUACAAGCGCUAGCUUAAAAUCCAAAGGACUUGGCGGUACUCCAAACCCAUCUAGAGGAGCCUGUUCUAUAACCGAUAAUCCACGUUUAACCUCACCACUUCUUGCCAUUUCCGCCUAUAUACCGCCGUCGCCAGCUCACUCUGUGAAGAAGCAACAGUAAGCACAAUGGGGACCUUUCCCCAGCACGUCAGGUCGAGGUGUAGCGAAUGAAGUGGGAAGAAAUGGGCUACAUUCUCUCUAUAGAAUAUACGAACAAAAGCAUGAAAAACUUCUUAAAGGUGGAUUUAGCAGUAAGUGAAUUUUAGAAUACUAAACUGAAAUUGGCUCUGGAGUGCGCACACACCGCCCGUCACUCUCCUCAAAAAACACCACCCCUUUCAUAAAAAAAAUUAAAAACAAGAGGAGGCAAGUCGUAA
rnacentral:rRNA from 1 species